GAUGAAGAACGCAGCGAAAUGCGAUACGUAAUGUGAAUUGCAGAAUUCAGUGAAUCAUCGAGUCUUUGAACGCACAUUGCGCCCGCUAGUAUUCUGGCGGGCAUGCCUGUCCGAGCGUCAUUUCAACCCAUCAAGCUUAGCGCUUGUGUUGGAGCCCUGCGGCCGCCGCAGCCUCCUAAAAUCAGUGGCGGGCUCGCUAUCACGCUGAGUGCAGUAGUAUUCUUCUCACUCCUGUGGUGUAGCGGGUAACCAGCCGUAAACCCCCCCAUCUAUAAAGGUUGACCUCGGAUCAGGUAGGAAUACCCGCUGAACUUAAGCAUAUCAAUAAGCGGAGGA
rnacentral:misc_RNA from 1 species